AAUAUUUUCAGGGGUAUCAUGUCUCAGAGUUUUCACACCUCCACACAAGAUGUCCAUCCUCGUCGAGAGGACGAGGAGGAGGAAGAGGAAGCUGCACUCUUCCUCCUUUUGAUAGUGCUGAGGCGAGGAGCAGAUGGCGCGAGAGAUUGGAAACAUCGUCUGGAGUCGGACAACCCAGGGCUAAUGGCAAGCUGUGCUGGCAGUGUGUGAGAGUGUGUGAGGGCUUCGAAUUGUCCUACUGUGCAUAGCUGGCUAGCAAAAGUUCAUUACUUUGUGUGUGUGUGCACAUGUGUGAAGUUCCGAGUCUUUAGCUUUUUAAAUGUCACCAUGUGAUCAUGUGUUUCUAGAGUUGUUCAAGGACGACAAAGAAGAGAAGAACAGCUCGUUUAAGACUCAUUAUUUCUUUAAGCCUUUUCAAAAAUCACUCUCAAACCACAUUAAAGCACGGAGGCUUUAUUCAUCAUGGUUUGGAGGAUUCAAAGUAAGCCUCUAAAGUGUCAGCGUGUGCGACGGUAAGCAAGCCAGAGGAAGUUAACAAGAGUAAACGAAAGGCAAACAGAGGUAGUUUAUGUCACCAUUAAAUCCUGCUCCUGUGAUGUAUACCCGAAAGCUUUCUAAACCAGGAAAAUCACUUCAAUGGAGACAAUUUGUGGAUGAAUUUCAAAAACAAACAGGGCCAGUUCCAACUAAAGGUUUGUGUCAAAAAGACAUUUGAUAUCAUCAGAAAACACUUUCAGGUGAAGCUGCAGAAGGCAUGCACCAACAACAUAUCCCAUCCUUUCACUAUGAGGGCCUUUUGACUCUGUGUUCGCCAAAAAAUACACAUUUCUUAUCGUCUGAUCUCAGCGGUGUGGACCUGGUUGUUGACAGCAUGGGUCCCCUUUUCAGACGCCUUGUUUCGGUUUCUCAUGAUUAAUGAUCGGUUGCAUUUCGUGAGAAGAAUGAUCGUUUAUCAUCUCCAGGAAGAAAAUCAUGAGUGACUGCUGCAAAAACAUCUUGGAGGAGAUAUUGUUUGCUGGUCUUUUGCACAAAACUGGCUGAACAUGGAACUGCACAGUGGUCACAGCACAUCCUAAAACAGAAAUGCCGGGGCAGCUGGGAGAUCCUGGGGAGAUAAGUGGCGCCAAAGGCACUGCUGAUGUCACUGUCUCUGGACCGAGAGCCCUCCCUCCUCCCUUCACCUCCUGCACUCUGACACAAAAAUGCCAUAGAGGAGUUUGAUUCCAAAACAAAGAAAAGCUGCUCCUUCCAGCUCAACACAGUCCUAACGGGCAGCCCAUCAGGAAGCUGCAGACUCCCACAGAAGCAUUUUACUCUUAAUUUCCUUUUCUAUCACAAAGGGUCAAAAGCUAUCACUAUGUUAUAUCUUUCUUCUUGGAGAAGCCAGUAAUUUAAGAUUUGUAUUAUCAACAACUUUGCUGCAGUUCGUGUGCAUAUGAUAAAUAAAGCCUCUGAGUCCUGCUUUGCAGAAUGACGUGCGAGUUUAACAUUAAAAGAGGCUUUUUAUGUAAGUGGACUAUUUUUUGUAAUCUCAAAAAGCUUGAAAGCUACUGUAAUAUCCAACCUACACAAAUAUAAACAAUAUUUGGA